GACGAACCGUCCAAACGUUAUUCGGAAUCACUGGGCUUACAGAGUUCGUAGGCGGUCUGGAAAGUUGGGUGUGAAAUCCCUCGGCUUAACCGGGGAACUGCGUCUGAUACUGGAUGGCUUGAGUUCGGGAGAGGGAUGCGGAAUUCCAGGUGUAGCGGUGAAAUGCGUAGAUAUCUGGAGGAACACCGGUGGCGAAGGCGGCAUCCUGGACCGACACUGACACUGAGGAGCGAAAGCCAGGGGAGCAAACGGG
rnacentral:rRNA from 1 species